CCUUUUAGCUGCGUGCUGCAGCGAGGCUAAGCUAGUGGGGGCAAAGUUUCAGUGCAUUCUGUUGAUGUAGACGGCGUGAAAACGGAAACAACAAGUAUGCCGGCUCACUGUGCUGCAUACAAUUACACACUACGUCGUACGAUUGAGACAAGGAAACUUGGAAUGACUUUUCAUAGGUUUCCCAGAGACUAUGGGUUGAGGAGGAAUUGGAAGUUUGUCGGCUUAGACCUGGUGUCAUUCCAUGAGUGAUAAACUUCCCGGCUCAUCUUGGAAGAGUACGUGCCAGAAAGACCACGACCAAGCAGCCUUGAGAUCUUAGACAGCGUCUCCCUCAGGUCCCUCUCUAUCUCCCCACACAUCCACCAACCACUGGAACACAUCUCCAAAGUUCUGCCGGGCCAGCUCAGCUUCCCCUCAGAAGAAGUGCCGCCACCUGCCAGAUGAAGGAGCCUUUUGAGAGGCAGCUGACAUCGUGAUUGGACUGUACUUUGGUCUGUUCCAAUCCAGCUUCAGCUCCAGAGACGGCAGGCGGGACGAGUCAACGGAGGCCGGAUGGACGAAGGCAUGAAGCUGAGUACAAUCCAGAAAACAACAGAGGAGGAGUGCAGCAGCCAGAACAACCAGAGUAGCAUCACCAAAGAACUACAGACUCUUCACAACCUGCUCAAACUCUUGGUACAGGACCUCACCACACGGGUCAAGAAGGUUUCUGUCUCAUUUCUACUCUGAAGCUCACCUUCUCCUGCUCAAACUGCUGACAAAUGUUUCUGCUGCUCUAAAGUCUGGUCUCCAGAACUUCCUAAAAACUCUCAAAGUCUCUUCUGCUGCAGGUUGCUUUGUAGAACUGUUCCAGAAAACCUCACUAAACCACAUGGAGGGGCCUCAAGAUAGUCGUCCAAAUGAAACCAUAAAAAACCAAACUAGCACAACCCAAACGCUAAAGUCUCCUGCAGCCUACCAGAGAACCUCUGAGAACAGAGAAUCAGGACAGGAACUCUUACCUUCUGGACAACCAACGUGGUUCACAAACAAGAAUACAGAAUGUGUCUGACCAAAAACCUCUGAAGACUCACUACAGCCAAGAUAAAGACACAACUCAGCUGCACCAAAUCCACUAAUCACUGCACACAUUAGCACCAUGUGCUAACUGUGGCUAAAGAACCACAUUUACCAAGACAACUAUCCAGUACAAAGCCCUAAAACACACCAAGAAACACAUUAAAGACGAUUUUACUGCUGGAAGCUGCAAGCCAACGCCUAAAGAACAAACUAAAGCAAUGGAGCCAAACCCAGUUCAGUGGUGAAGAGAAGCAGAGGAAAUGUUUGUCUGCAGCUAAAUAAAGCAGGAAGACACUGAGCUGCUCAGGUGUUCCUGAUAACACCAAGCAGCCACCUGGACAGCCAAUAGGAACACAGCUUACUGGAAGUCCAGAGGGCUGGGUUAGUGAAGGAAAUUUAGUUUAAAGUUGAAGCAGAAAGUUAACAAAGAAAGUUGAAAACCACCUUCUGAUACCUGAAAUCUCUGAGUUUUCACACAAAGAACACCUGAACAUGUCAAACUGGUUCCAUAGUAGAACCAUCAUUGUAAAAACGUCAUAGUAUGGUGUGUUGCUCAAAAAACAUUAGGACCCGGCUGUCAGGGGACAAACAUGUAAGAAACAUGAGAACAGAGAGAACCCAACCAGUAGGUCACAGUUUAUCAUCCCCCAGUCAUCUCCUGAAGUCCAUAUGGUGAGAGACAUCAGUAUCUGGUUGUUAAUUUACCAGAGGAUGCUUAUAAUCAUGCUGAUGUGGUCUGUACUCUACAGUAUUUUAGUGACUCAAUAAAUGCCUAAGUUGUUUUUUUUAAAAUGCUUUUUAGUUUUUAAUAA